GAUCAUGGCUCAGAUUGAACGCUGGCGGCAGGCUUAACACAUGCAAGUCGAACGGUAGCAGGAGGAAGCUUGCUUUCUUGCUGACGAGUGGCGGACGGGUGAGUAAUGCUUGGGAAUCUGGCUUAUGGAGGUGGAUAACGACGGGAAACUGUCGCUAAUACCGCGUAGUAUCGGAAGAUGAAAGUGCGGGACUGUAAGGCCGCAUGCCAUGAGAUGAGCCUAAGUGGG
rnacentral:rRNA from 1 species